AGACAAAAUGAAUCGGUCUCUAUAAGUAAAGCUGUAGGAAUGUCUGCAUGUUUCACUGGUUUCUCUGCUCCAACACAGCUGAUUCAGUCUUUGAAUUAUCUCUUCCAAGUUUUGCAGGAGCCUGAUAAUCACUCACUCAUUCAAAUCAGGUGUGUUAAGAGCAGAGAAACAAGCAGAACAUGCAGAGCUGCGGCCCUCGAGGACCAGGUUUGCCCACCCAUGGUUGUGACCUGAGUGCCUUCAGCUGCAGCCUCCAUCAAUCAGUCAAGCUUAAUCUGAGUGAGGGAGAAGCAGCUUGAUGAAGGCUGAAGGAGAGGAGGGUACACCAGGGUCUUCACUGUGAUGCGCGCUCUGACAAGACAACACAGACUCGUGCCUACAUUCUCAUGGACCUGGCCAGACCUGAAGCCAUCCAGAUUUUUUUUAUAUGCUGCGGAGGUGCGUGAACCAGGAGUCGAUGGACGUGUCCUCAUUCCAAGGAGGACCCUGAAAGAAAGUUUAGGAAACUGUGCAACCCUCAAAGAAACAUAGAAAAGACAGAAAUUCAUCACUCGUAACCAAAAGGCUGGUGAGUCCAUUGAAUCCUCAGCAAGCAGUCUGAGAUACAAAGCUCAGCAGGGCCGGAUUAACACUUCGCUGUACCCUGGGCAACAAUAUUCAAGGGCCCCAU